rnacentral:rRNA from 1 species
CAGUAGCCGCGGGAAUACGGAGGGUGCAAGCGUUAAUCGGAAUUACUGGGCGUAAAGCGCACGCAGGCGGUCUGUCAAGUCAGAUGUGAAAUCCCCGGGCUUAACCUGGGAACUGCAUUUGAAACUGGCAGGCUAGAGUCUUGUAGAGGGGGGUAGAAUUCCAGGUGUAGCGGUGAAAUGCGUAGAGAUCUGGAGGAAUACCGGUGGCGAAGGCGGCCCCCUGGACAAAGACUGACGCUCAGGUGCGAAAGCGUGGGGAGCAAACAGGAUUAGAUACCCGCGUAGUCCCUGUCUCUUAUAC